GGAGCUUGACUGCGAGACCUACAAGUCGAGCAGGGACGAAAGUCGGGCUUAGUGAUCCGGUGGUUCCGCAUGGAAGGGCCAUCGCUCAACGGAUAAAAGCUACCCCGGGGAUAACAGGCUUAUCUCCCCCAAGAGUCCACAUCGACGGGGAGGUUUGGCACCUCGAUGUCGGCUCAUCGCAUCCUGGGGCUGUAGUCGGUCCCAAGGGUUGGGCUGUUCGCCCAUUAAAGCGGUACGCGAGCUGGGUUCAGAACGUCGUGAGACAGUUCGGUCCCUAUCCGUCGCGGGCGCAGGAAAUUUGAGAGGAGCUGUCCUUAGUACGAGAGGACCGGGAUGGACGCACCGCUGGUGUACCAGUUGUUCUGCCAAGGGCAUCGCUGGGUAGCUAUGUGCGGACGGGAUAAGUGCUGAAAGCAUCUAAGCAUGAAGCCCCCCUCAAGAUGAGAUUUCCCAUUCCGCAAGGAAGUAAGAUCCCUGAAAGAUGAUCAGGUUGAUAGGUCUGAGGUGGAAGCGUGGUGACACGUGGAGCUGACAGAUACUAAUAGAUCGAGGACUUAACCUAU
rnacentral:rRNA from 1 species